rnacentral:rRNA from 1 species
UACGAGGGGGGCAAGCGUUGUUCGGAAUUAUUGGGCGUAAAGGGUGCGUAGGCGGUUUGGUAAGUCUGAUGUGAAAUCUAUGGGCUCAACUCAUAGUCUGCAUCGGAAACUGCCGGGCUUGAGUGUGGGAGAGGUGAGUGGAAUUCCUGGUGUGGCGGUGAAAUGCGUAGAUAUCAGGAGGAACACCUGUGGCGAAAGCGGCUCACUGGACCAUAACUGACGCUGAUGCACGAAAGCUAGGGGAGCAAACAGG